GUGUCAGCCGCCGCGGUAAUACAGAGGGUGCAAGCGUUGUUCGGAAUUAUUGGGCGUAAAGGGAGUGUAGGCUGUGAGGUAAGUCUUCUGUGAAAUCUACGGGCUUAGCCUGUAACGUGCAGAGGAAACUGCUUCGCUUGAGUGUCGGAGAGGAUAGGGGAAUACCCGGUGUAGAGGUGAAAUUCGUAGAGAUCGGGUGGAACACCAGUGGCGAAGGCGCCUAUCUGGCUGACAACUGACGCUGAGACUCGAAAGCAUGGGGAGCAAACAGGAUUAGAUACCCGCGUAGUCC
rnacentral:rRNA from 1 species